rnacentral:lncRNA from 1 species
AAAAACGGGUGGGCUAUAGCCUUGGUGGGGGGCGCAGGCGAAGUUCGUCCGCCGGACUUGGAAUGGGGCGAGACUUUGCGAGGGGCCUCGGGACGCCAAAACUAAGCCGCGGGCAAAGCUGCGCCCAAAAAUAAGCGCCCGAAGGUCGUGGUGCCAAAACCCCCCAGCGGAAAAAUGGCCAAAAAACGGGUGGGCUAUAGCCUUGGUGGGGGGCGCGGGCGAAGUUCGUCCGCCGGACUCGGAAUGGGGCGAGCCUUUGCGAGGGGCCUCGGGGUGCCAAAAAUAAGCCGCGGCCAAGGCCGCGCCCAAAAAUAAGCGCCCGAAGUUCGUGGUGCCAAAACCCCCCAGCAGAAAAAUGGCCAAAAAACGGGUGGGCUAUAGCCUUGGUGGGGGGCGCGGGCGAAGUUUUUCCGCCGGACUCGGAAUAGGGCGAGACUUUGCGAGGGGCCUCAUGGUGCCAAAAAUAAGCCGCGGGCAAAGCCGCGCCCAAAAAUAAUUGCCCAAAGGUCGUGGUGCCAAAACCCCCCAGCGGAAAAAUGGCCAAAAAACGGGUGGGCUAUAGCCUUGGUGGGGGGCGCGGGCGAAGUUCGUCCGCCGGACUCGGAAUGGGGCGAGACUUUGCGCGGGGCCUCAGGGUGCCAAAAAUAAGCCGCGGGCAAAGCCGCGCCCAAAAAUAAGCGCCCGAAGGUCGUGGUGCCAAAACCCCCCAGCGGAUAAAUGGCCAAAAAA